AUGACAGCCAAAUAACCUAGCAAAUAACUGUUUUAUUAGUUGUUGAAUACUAGCGUUUUGGCCAAGAAUAGUUGGAGAUUUGGAGGUUUUAGUUUAAGAUUGCUUUUAUAUUGUGUGUAUCCGUGUUUCCUAGGAGGGAGACAGAGUGUGUAGUUGUGUGCCCAUAAAUGUGAUUUCUGUAUUGGCAUAUCUGCUGGGUACCCAUUAUGUGUUUCUACAAAGAUAUUGCUUUGUGAGAUGACGUGUAAUAUUACAUUGGAUGCUGAGUAUGAGUUAUAUGGUUUGAAAUGAAUUGGUGAUUAUGAGCUUAGUACUUCAGUAAGAUGUGCUAAAAUCUGGAACAAGGUGGAAGCUGAAAUGUUGGGAUUAUGGAAGAAUAAGCAGUCUAUAUUCACUGCUUUGGCAUAUAAGCAGGAUGCAAAGGAAGAGAUUGGUAAUAUGAUUUUUGUAAAUAAAUUUUACAAGUGUUGGAAGGAUGAGGCAGGUUUGAUGUCUGGAGAUGAUAUAGAUCUUUUUAAAAUACAGUCAUGCCUUGGUAAUAUGUUGCCACAGUAUUAUUUGCUUGUGAAACAAUUGAUUUCAGACUGGGCCAAUUUGGAUAGCUCAGAUUUUCUUACCAAGGUUAUAGAAAAGGAAAAUGCAGGUUGUUUUGAAUUAAGAAAAGAUUUAGGAAAGUAAGGUUGCUUAUUAUGCUCAGGGAUUGCAACAUAUUAUGUCC
rnacentral:lncRNA from 1 species